rnacentral:rRNA from 1 species
UACGUAGGGUGCGAGCGUUAAUCGGAAUUACUGGGCGUAAAGCGUGCGCAGGCGGUUUUGUAAGCCAGAUGUGAAAUCCCCGGGCUUAACCUGGGAAUGGCAUUUGGGACUGCAAGGCUCGAGUGCGGCAGAGGAGACUGGAAUUCCUGGUGUAGCAGUGAAAUGCGCGAAUAUCAGGAGGAACACCGAUGGCGAAGGCGG